rnacentral:rRNA from 1 species
UACGUAGGGGGCAAGCGUUGUCCGGAAUCAUUGGGCGUAAAGAGCGUGUAGGCGGCCCGGUAAGUCCGCUGUGAAAGUCCAGGGCUCAACCCUGGGAUGCCGGUGGAUACUGUCGGGCUCGAGUCCGGAAGAGGAGUGUGGAACUCCUGGUGUAGCGGUGAAAUGCGCAGAUAUCAGGAAGAACACCUAUGGCGAAGGCAGCUCUCUGGGACGGUACUGACGCUGAGACGCGAAAGCGUGGGGAGCGAACAGG